UACGGGGGGGGCAAGCGUUGUUCGGAAUUACUGGGCGUAAAGGGCUCGUAGGCGGCCAACUAAGUCAGACGUGAAAUCCCUCGGCUUAACCGGGGAACUGCGUCUGAUACUGGAUGGCUUGAGUUUGGGAGAGGGAUGCGGAAUUCCAGGUGUAGCGGUGAAAUGCGUAGAUAUCUGGAGGAACACCGGUGGCGAAGGCGCCAUCCUGGACCAGCACUGACGCUGAGUGAGCGAAAGCCAGGGGAGCAAACGGG
rnacentral:rRNA from 1 species